AACGAACGCUGGCGGCAGGCUUAACACAUGCAAGUCGAACGCCCCGCAAGGGGAGUGGCAGACGGGUGAGUAACGCGUGGGAAUCUACCUAGUUCUACGGAACAACACAGGGAAACUUGUGCUAAUACCGUAUACGCCCUACGGGGAAAGAUUUAUCGGAAUUAGAUGAGCCCGCGUAAGAUUAGCUAGUUGGUGAGGUA
rnacentral:rRNA from 1 species